UGGUAAAGAAGCCGGCUAAAACCCACCAAAAAGAAAAUGGUAACGAAAGUGACCUCUGGACAUCCUCACUGCUCAUUAUACACUGAUUAUAAUGCAUUAGCAUGCUAAAAGAAACUCCCACCAGUACUAAACAAUUUAAAGGCUGGGUGCAGUGGCUCAUGCCUAUAAUUCCAGCGCUAUAAUUCUGCCUCCCAGGUUCAAGCGAUUCUCCUGCCUCNNNNNNNNNNCUGCCUCCCAGGUUCAAGCAAUUCUCCUGCCUCAGCCUCCUGAGUAGCUGGGAUUACAGGUGUGUGCCAUCACGCUUGGCUAAUUUUUGUAUUUCUAGU
rnacentral:lncRNA from 1 species